rnacentral:rRNA from 1 species
AUUGAACGCUGGUGGCAGGCUUAACACAUGCAAGUCGAGCGGCAGCAAGCCUUCGGGCGUUGGCGAGCGGCGGACGGGUGAGUAAUGCAUAGGAAUCUGCCUGGUAGUGGGGGAUAGCCCGGGGAAACUCGGAUUAAUACCGCAUACGCCCUACGGGGAAAGGAGGGGAGUCUUCGGACCUUUCGCUAUCAGAUGAGCCUAUGUCGGAUUAGCUAGUUGGUGAGGUAAAGGCUCACCAAGGCGACGAUCCGUAACUGGUCUGAGAGGAUGAUCAGUCACACUGGAACUGAGACACGGUCCAGACUCCUACGGGAGGCAGCAGUGGGGAAGUAUUGGACAAUGGGGGAAACCCGUGAUCCAGCCAUGCCGCGUGUGCGAUGAAGGCCUCGG